rnacentral:rRNA from 1 species
AUUGAACGCUGGCGGCAGGCCUAACACGUGCAAGUCGAACGGUAACAGGAAGCAGCUUGCUGCUUUGCUGACGAGUGGCGGACGGGUGAGUAAUGUCUGGGAAACUGCCUGAUGGAGGGGGAUAACUACUGGAAACGGUAGCUAAUACCGCAUAACGUCGCAAGACCAAAGAGGGGGACCUUCGGGCCUCUUGCCAUCGGAUGUGCCCAGAUGGGAUUAGCUAGUAGGUGGGGUAACGGCUCACCUAGGCGACGAUCCCUAGCUGGUCUGAGAGGAUGACCAGCCACACUGGAACUGAGACACGGUCCAGACUCCUACGGGAGGCAGCAGUGGGGAAUAUUGCACAAUGGGCGCAAGCCUGAUGCAGCCAUGCCGCGUGUAUGAAGAAGGCCUUCGGGUUGUAAAGUACUUUCAGCGGGGAGGAAGGGAGUAAAGUUAAUACCUUUGCUCAUUGACGUUACCCGCAGAAGAAGCACCGGCUAACUCCGUG